GUACUUACUUCGGCGGUACAUAUACUAAAAUUUGAACGAUACAGAGAAGAUUAUGAUGGCCACUGCGCAAGGAUGAGACGCAGAAUCGUGAAGAAAAACACAAAUAC